rnacentral:lncRNA from 1 species
GUCCGUGUAUAGGAUAUUGCCAUUCCUUUCACUGCUGUUGUUGGGACAGUGGGAAGAACAUUUUAGACUGAGAGGAGAUUCAAGUAGGGUCUCAUCUUGACUCUGCCACUAACUUGCUGUUGGCCUUGAGCAAGUCACUUUCUCUUUCCAAGUCUCAAUGUUACCAGAUCUGCAAAGCCCAAGGGCCAUAUCCACUCAAGGACUUCACUCCUGUACUUCUUGGAAGAAGAAUGUUCUAUCAGGCCCUUCCAGCUCUCCUCCCUGUGCCUCCUCCCCAAUCCCCAGUCUCUGAAGCAGUCUGAAGAUGCCAGCCACCUCCUUGAAUCUCAAGAUGGAAAAUCUGGGGCAGCCUGGAGCCCAGUUCAGAUGACCACCUUCUCCCAGAUACAAGUAGCAGGCAGUCUGGUAAAACGUCCUCCUCCUUAACUGCACCUGAGAGGUCUCUGCUUCUCCUGCCUUCCACGUGGGCAAGUGCACAGAUGCGAG